UUGCCACUGACAUUCGCAUCGCAUUGCAACGCGAGUGAAACAACAUAGAGUGACUGAUACAUGUCUUUCAUUCACUGUGAGCAAAUCACGAGACUCCGCCCAUCCGCUUGCUUGCUUGCAGGCUGUGCGUUGAUUACCUCGUCAAAACGUCAAAGUUGGCAUUCUAGUUUAACUGGUUUAGGUUGCCUCCUUUUCCUGCGCCCUCUCUGACCCAUCUUCACCCAUGCUUGUACUUUUGUACUGUGUCAAAGCUGUUGUCACUGAUGCCUGCUCAGUUCCAAAACCCGAGUGGUCUUUGCUGCUGCUCUUCCUGACUUGACUUUUCACAAAUACACGUAAAAGAGAGGGAGGAUGUGCUCUCCCCGCCUCAGGCUCUGGCAUCCCAUUUGUGCAUUUGGAAGGCAGGCAGCGAGCCAUACCGCCAAAUGUAAUUUACUGCAUGCAAAUAAAUAAUCCUCUUUGACAGUAGUCCUGAAUAAAUGUAAAUAUACAGACAGGCCAAGACAGGAUAUUGGCUUACAUGUUUUGGAUUAUGUCACCCCAGCCCAAGAUGCCCAGGAGGGUCAGUUACCCUAUGUGACACCAGGUCAAUGACUCAUUAGAUUAAAACAUCCAAUGGCGUGCUUAAAACGAACCGAGACUUCUACUGCUGUACUUAUUUUUGUAAUAUCUAUUGUCUUGCUUUUGAAAGGGACCUUGAUGAAAUCCAUGUGUCAUUUUCCUUGUAAACAAUUUUCAAACUUCGAUCAAACUGAUAAGAGAUUGAAAAACAUACCAGCCUGCACAGGGCAGUCAAGGCAACUGCAAUAAUGUGGUAAUUGACAAACGUGACACAAGUUUAAUCAUUUCGGCCAAAACCUUGAACCCUUAAUGAAAUUCUUUGGUAGAGUAAGUCCAGAGCCAGACUUGGAUCGUGACUUUGGAGCUUGAUGUUAAUCAACUAAGGGUUCCCGAGAAGGCUUUAGGUCAGGAUUUAAGUCAAAUCCCAUGCUGGGACCCCAGGAAAUAUAGGUGUCAGUAACUGGAAAACUGAAGUGAUAGGUGACAGUGACCUGGGAAUGGCAUUAGCGUUGAUCUCAACGAACCAAAAAGGCGGAGGAGGCACAACAUGUUUCUGAUUUUGUGGCUCAUUUUGAAUCUAAAUAUUUCAUUAUAAAUAAUAAGAAAGCAUUUGCUUGUUUUUGAGUUGUUUUGCAGUAUGGGGAAGAGAAAUUGUCUAAAAGAUAUAAAUGCAUCAAUACAACACUUCCACCCUAACUUAACCCUGUUGCCCUUACCCAAGACACUCGGCAAAGAAAUAAUCAGUCCUCUUCUUUUCAGACGAAGACCUCAAAUGACUUUUGGGCAACAACUCAGGUCUCAGGUCCUCCCAGUUUACUGAAUUGAGAGUCACUACACAGAUAUACAGUACAGGCCAAAAGUUUGGACACACCUUCUCAUUCAAUGUCUUUUCUUUUUUUUUAUAUGACUAUUUACAUUGUAGAUUAUUACUGAAGGCAUUAAAACUAUGAAUGAACACAUGUAGAAUUUUGGACUUAUAAAAAAGUGUGAAAUAACCGAAAACAUGUUUUAUAUUCUAGUUUCUUUAAAAUAGCCACUCUUUCCUCUUGAUGACAGAAUUACCUUGUCAGGGUUACUUCAGGCACUCCUGUGAAGUAAAAACCAUUUCAGGUGACUACCUCAUGAAGCUCAUUGAGAGAACAGCUAAAGUUUGCAGCGCUAUCAAAAAAGCAAAGGGUGGCUACUUUGAGAAAUCUAAAAUAUAAAACAUGUUUUCAGUUAUUUCACACUUUUUUCUUAAGCACAUGAUUCCACAUGUGUUCAUUCAUAGUUUUGAGAAUCUACAAUUUAAAUAGUAAUGAAAACAAAGAAAAUGCAUUGAGUGAAAAGGUGUGUCCAAACUUUUGGCCUGUACUAUAGAUCAUUGUAACGCUCCUGUGCUCUAACUUCAUGCUAAAUCAAGGAUUUUCCUUUACUCAACUCUCUCCGACCCAAAAUGAAACCACAAGGCUCUUACUGCUCUCAUUGAGGUAGAUCAGAAGAAGCAGCACCAGUUCUUUGACAUCUUUGGGGCAGUUGUUCAGCUCUCCCCUUGCCAUUUUCAGCUUUGUUGGUGACUGUAGGAACUUUUUGUUCCUACAAAAAGUAGGAACAUCACACAAACAGUAUUGAUGUAAUUCAGAAGCUGUUUUCCCUUCAGAUCAACAUUUCUUGAGAAACUUCCUAUGAGACUGAUUCUGGUAAGUUAAUGAAAGUAGACUGUCGUCCUAAGUUCAUGGAACCAAAAUGGCCACUCCACCUGGAGGCAUUUCAGAUUUUUUCCCUGGUUGACUUGUUUACACUGUGUGUAGAAAGUUAACCUCAUUAGACAGACAUUUCACUUCCUGCCGAUUUACAUGACAUUGAUGUGACAUCCUCUUCAGCUGCUCCUUCUCCUCCUGAAUCUUGAAGGUCUCUCCAAGGGGCACCCAUAUGUGUCCUGGAUCUCUGCUCUGUGUUCUGGAGGAAGCUCUUCAAUAUCAGAGUCUUCAGAGUGACACUUUCGUAGUCUUAUCAUUGGAGUUGUAGAGCGACUGGCAUUCUCAAUCCUGUUUUGCAUUUGCUUGGCUAUAGGGAAUGAUACACUUGUUCAAUGACAUCCCCAUCUUGCAGAGAUUUGGGAUAUUUUGCCACUAUCUUCUGAGCAACAAAAUACGAAUGUUUCUGCAUUAUCUCAUGGACCACAAGUCAGCCUGAACAGCCGUCCUUGCGCCCUGCACCUCACUUACUGCCAAACGUGUGUGCCACUGAAGUAGCAAAAUGCAGUCAGACAUGCCCUAAUUUACUUUGCUCAUGUGUCUAUAAUUUACAAGGCAGUUAAUGACAAACGCAUUUGAUAAAAUUUUUAAUAUGCAUUAUAAAUCAUAAUAACCCAGUCAUCAAUCAGUGAAACUACUGGGAAGUCAACAGAUACAGGUUAGACUAGUUUCAUCAGCAAGGAGCCGCUUGGACUUACCGGCAUCAUCACCUAUUGGUGGAAAGACAUUAGCUGUUCCUCCUCCUUCUCCUCAGGUGAUGAGGUUCAAAGACUCCAACAUACCCUUCAGCUCUAACUGGUGUACCUUGGAAGCCAUCCAGACUGGAUAGUACCUCAACAGUUGUGUUGAACAGAGCUUGGCGGAAAUGGCACAGUACAUCUCUGGGGUUGAACUGCGGUUCGUGGAGGACCUCUUCACCUCCUCUUGGUGGGAUUGAACCAAGUCCAAUGGGAUCAUCCAUCAUUAGUCAGAUGGUACGUCAGCAUUCGUUCUCACACCACCAGACCCAGGAAGAGCUUCAUCCUGAGGACCAUGAGACAGUUGAACUUGUAGACACUCAAGCUCAUUACCAUUCAACUUCACUUGGACUUCACUAGCAUUUAUCUCAGUAUCACUGUAUAGUGCAUAAAUACUAAACCCCCUUCAGUUAUAUGUUUUCAUUUAGCUGGUUAAGAUUUAAAAGUUAUAUAAAAAAAAACAGUAAGGGAUAUUAAAUGGUUAACAGACUCCCAAAAAUGUGUUUGUCUUCCUUGUAUUGCUACUUUUGUUGUAGUUAUGUUUUGUUUUGGAAUUUUAUAGCCCAAUCAUUGUGCAUAUUACUUCAAAAAAACUUUGAGAUAGAGACUUUGUUAGUUUCAAUAAGUAGUAAAAUAUGUCUAGGGCUCAUAUGUUGGGCAUUUCUGUUGAUUUCUAGUGUUUUCAGCUUAAACUGUUUUUCUUAUUUUGCUACAGUCUUUUAGUUUUUUAAAUGGUGCAACCAAUUGCUUUCCAGGAUUAACUCACCUUAAACAAAUCAACAGAGGCAUCUAGCCAAUCUCUAAGCAACUUCUGAACUACUAACAUCGUUACUCUGCAGACAGAUUGCGCUCACUCACACACAUACACAGACAUGUACCGAGAUGCCGUUUGGUUUUGCCAUCUGCAAACACUGGACAGAAAUAAAAAUAGAAAGUAGUGACCCCAGACAGCAUCACUUCUAACUUUGGGUUACUCAACAAAAGCGGCAAUAAAGUUAAUGGCUCUGAUGAAAGACGUGACUUUUCCGAGAACAGGGCUCAGAAGCUGUUUACACCUGGAUUUAUCUCAUCUGGUUAUCCAAUCCCAAUCAGACAGCCUUAAAAUGGAAGUUGGCAUUAGAAUGUGUCUCUAAUGACACUUCUGAUCAUAUCACUGUCCUGUUCCAUGUGAAUAACUGUAAACCAGCAUCAUUUUGUACAAAAAAAAAAACCUGGAUGAAAAAUAUAAUUACUCAGGUGAUUUGCAGUCGACACAUACGUAGGAGUGGUAGCUGAAUGAGCUGCACAUCUGCCACAGAUGCAGCAGUAGACUCAACAGUUGGUUUGGGCAACAUGUCUUCCCUCAACAUACCUUGCGAACAAGGUCAUUUGGUCCUCCCAGGCAUACAAAUUAAGAAGCUGGUAGUGAUUUGAAAUCAGACUCUGGAUGUUUUGAUGGAGUGGCUCCUUCUUGGUCUGCUGAGCUAACAUGAGCUGUACCUUGGCCACAGGCGUUUCCAGUGCUGGGCUCUCAGGCAACUAGCUUAGUAGAAGCAUGUUGUUUGGUUAGGUACUUUGUGAGAUUAGAAUUACUGUUCUUGGCUAUGGACAAAGUUUCCCUUGUUGUACAUGCGCUACAACUCACCUCUAUUUUCUUGUCUUGAACCUCAAGAAGAAGAGGGGGGGUCUGGUAUUUCUAAGCUCAUGUCUAAAUGACCAAUGGCCACUGUGUAUGUCAACUGCGCGAUACAUUAAUUUCCCCAGUAUGGCGUUAUGCUGUUGUAGGCGUUACCUUGCCAUCUCGCUGUACAAUCAGUCUUCUGAAGUUGUCAACUACUUGAUGUAAGGUUACAAGUAACAAGCCCUUUCAAAUUUCUGUAACUGUAACAGCAUUAUUGAAUUUAAAAGUGAACUACAUACAUGUACCGAAAAUAAUAUUGGAAUGCAAGGUAUAGGUACAUUAAGAAAAAAAAGCAUACUCAUGUUCAUCGUAUUACGUCGACUGUGCUUUGAGAUCUGAAGAUUUGUAACCUUACAGUAAUGUUGGCAGUAAAACUGCUUUUAUUACUGUGAUGACUUACUUUUGCAUUAACCCUUGCUUCACGUGUGCCAAACUGUAGGGGAUGAUCCGUACGGAUAACCAAUUGACUUUAAUCUGUUACAACACCAGUCAGGAUAUAGACGUCUUAUGCCUCUGACAUCUGUUUCUGUCUCCGUCUUUCUCUCUGUUUACCUGUCUGUGGGCCUGAUCUACUGAAGGUUAGCGUGUAUAAAAACACGUGCAAACUUGACAGUGCUCACAAAGCUGAUCUACUAACUGGGUGCACCGAGGAUUGCAUCUGUCAAAUGAUCAAAAUACCGCACAGAAUCCAUUUAGCGUGUUUGCCUUCAUGAAGAUGCCGGAUGAAUGCAGAUUAUCAGAAUUUGCAAAGUAACGUUGGAAAGGCAGGUGCAAAGUGGUAUAGUGUUACGCACAAAUGGCUGCAGUCAUUGUGGUGAGAAGGAGGCAUGGGUGCAAUGACAAAACUCAUUGCAACACUAAAUUUUCUUGCAUCUGAUUCAUUCCAGUGCACCAUCACAGUUAGUACCAGCCUCUCCCAGAGUAGUUUUUCUGGUGUGCUGUCCCAAGUGUUGAAUGCCAUAUCACACAGGAUGGGAAAGUAAAUCCAGUUCCCACACACUUGGGACGCAGUAAAUGACAUCAAACAUGGCUUUUAUGCAGUUGCUGGCUUCCCCAAAAUGAUAGGUGCAACUCCAUGGCUUCAAAUUUCAUUUUGCAUGAAUGGCCACUCUGCUCUCCCAAACUCUCCAAGGUGACAGCCAGUAGCGCAACUAAAAUCCGCAUUUAAAAAGGGCGGUCUGCACCGCUUUUGCACUCAUUAAUUGCGCAUGCAACCAUAGUAGAUCAACCGCAACAUGCCAACUAAUAGCAUGUGCAAUUUUUUAGUUUGCACACCUGUUUUAGUGCUUGUUAUUUGGAAUCUUGGUAAAUCAGCCCCUGUAUAUCUCUCUAUUUGCUGUAGGGCUACAUUCUUGAUUUUACAGGGAUACCUCCUCUUAAAAAUGUGUGUUCAUUUGGAUAUAAAGCUGGGAACUGGAAUGCAGUAACUUGAGAUGUAUUUAAGAUACAUUAUAGCGUGGAUCAAACAUAAAAAAAGCUUGAAAUUUUCUGACAUCAUUAAGAUGGGGUGGACUUCUGAAUAUAAAUGGCCAAUCUUUCCCUCCUACUUUCGCCAGGGUUUUCCAGCCAGCUCCUUAGUAAAAUUAUGGCUCUAAAGUUGGGAUGUGUUUGAAUGCAGCAGGGAAAUCUCUGUUAAAUUCAUGGUUGGGUAAUAAAGUCAUUCAGGCUAGACAGAGUUUCACUGCUCUCUUAAAAUUCACCUCAGUUUAAAGUAUUUUGUUCCCCACUGGUGUUUGCCUUCUGAAAAUGUCCUUUAACAUGUUGUGAUUAUAUUACCAAAAUUAAAGACGCCACAACAAAAGGCUUCUCCUCAAUUUGCUCGCUAUUGGGCUACCCCUUUCGCUCUGAAGCAGUGAGAGUACCUGCAGAAAUGUAUUCCUGCUGAAAGGUGAAUGUGUCACAGGUGAAUUGGUGAAAAUAUCUAGGAAACAGAAUGAAUACACAGAGAGACUGAGAGAGAGAAAGUGAGAGACAGGUUUAAAAGACAGUUCAGUAUGGAUUCUGGGCAACAAACCAGCAUCACAGAUGUGUCAAAUUGCAUCUUUGUAAGGUCACUGCAUGAAAAGGACAGGUGAGCGCUUCAAAGUUACACACAGUUGGUAGAUACAUGAAAGUGUGAUCCUUGAAACAGGUGGUGUCUCUGUGAGUAUAUAUGUCAAUCCCAUUCUUAGCCUCUCUCUCACACACGAGCACACUCAAGUAUCGGCAUAGGGAGCAGCAGAUGCUGCUGCUGUGGAGCAAUGGUCGAGUUUGGUAGUUAAGUGUUUUUACUCACCCUCAAGGAUGGAUGAAUAUACCUUUUAAGUCUUUUGCAGACUGUGUCAUGCUCUGCUGCCCACAACGUAUGAUAGCAGCAGAGGUUUUAACAGAUUUAUUUCCAGCCCUACCAUACUUUCAUUCUUAAGAUGAUGCUGAGGCAAGGCUGUAUUGGCAACAUUGCUCAGUUUAACCAGGAUAAGAUGCUGGAAAAGAUAAUACAAGUUUUUAACAGUUGUUCCUCUGUGACAUGUAGUGACUAUUAUAAUGCCCUCUUGUCCUCUCAGGCAGGCUACCCUCCACCACUGACAGAU
rnacentral:lncRNA from 1 species